UGACAUCCAGGUGCUCAAUGGACAGGC
rnacentral:piRNA from 1 species